rnacentral:rRNA from 1 species
UACAGAGGGUGCAAGCGUUGUUCGGAAUUAUUGGGCGUAAAGAGCUCGUAGGCGGUUUGUCGCGUCUGCUGUGAAAACUCGGGGCUUAACCCUGGGCCUGCAGUGGGUACGGGCAGACUAGAGUGCGGUAGGGGAGACUGGAAUUCCUGGUGUAGCGGUGAAAUGCGCAGAUAUCAGGAGGAACACCGGUGGCGAAGGCGGGUCUCUGGGCCGUAACUGACGCUGAGGAGCGAAAGCGUGGGGAGCGAACAGG